UGUUUGUUUUUUUGUAGUUUUUGAGUCAAUUGCAUACCGCUUUUAGCUGUACACAUUAAUUAACUUAAACAGUUUUCGUAAAUGCAUUUCAGAGAAAAGUGAAUUCUGAGAUUUGAAUAAUGCAUCUGACGUGUGGGAUGACGUCACGACGCACGUAUUUUGAUUUUUACCAGUCGUUCAAGACAGACGGAUUCAGUCCCAAGAAGCUAAAGUUUUUCAAAGACAUUUGUAGGGAGGGCUUUGCAGCUAAUGGAGCUGAAGUAUUUUAUGUAUGGAGGAUUUUGCAGUCCAUAUAGGCAAGUCAUUAUAAUGAAAACUCUUAGGGGUGGUUUCCCGGACAGGGAUUAGCUUUAUCCAGGACUAGACCUUAGUUUAAUUAGGAUAGUUUUAACAAACAUGCCUUACUAAAAACAUUACUUAUGUGCAUUACGAUGUAAAACAAAGGGCACUGAUGUAUUUUAAGAUAUGUCAGAGCAAGUUGUUUUCAGUUUGGACAGCUCUUACAUUUAUUUUAGUCUAGGACUAGUCUAAUUCCUGUCUGGGAAACCGCCCCUUAAUAUAUAUGAUGACAUUUAAGUCAAGCUCUAGUUUAGGUAAAAAUAUAUCUGCUAUACAAUCUCUGCCAGUAAACUAUAGAUUUAAUACAGUAAGUCUUAAAUAAAUGUAAUGUUUUAAUAUUAAACACUUUUUAAUUGAGCUUAUUGUCUAUCUUUUUCAGAUUUCCUAAGGCUGAACCAAAACCUGCCAGACUAAAGUUAAUUUGGGAGAGAAAGACGUUGUAAACUUAAUCAUCUUGACAUUCUUCAAUGAGUAAUUGUUCAAUUUUUAGGCAAAUACUGUACACUUUGAAUGCUGUGAAUAAAACUAUAUUUUAAAUAUAUUUAAAAUGAA